GAAAGGAGCAAUCCGCUGAUAGAUGAGCUUGCGUCUGAUUAGCUAGUUGGUGGGGUAAAGGCCUACCAAGGCAACGAUCAGUAGCCGGACUGAGAGGUUGAACGGCCACAUUGGGACUGAGAUACGGCCCAGACUCCUACGGGAGGCAGCAGUCGGGAAUAUUGCGCAAUGGAGGAAACUCUGACGCAGUGACGCCGCGUAUAGGAAGAAGGUUUUCGGAUUGUAAACUAUUGUCCACAGGGAAGAUAAAAGACUGUACCUGUGAAGAAAGCUCCGGCUAACUACGUGCCAGCAGCCGCGGUAAUACGUAGGGAGCAAGCGUUAUCCGGAAUUAUUGGGUGUAAAGGGUGCGUAGACGGGAUAACAAGUUGGUUGUGAAACCCCUCGGCUCAACUGAGGAACUGCAACCAAAACUAUUAUUCUUGAGUGCAGGAGAGGAAAGUGGAAUUCCUAGUGUAGCGGUGAAAUGCGUAGAUAUUAGGAAGAACACCGGUGGCGAAGGCGACUUUCUGGACUGUAACUGACGUUGAGGCACGAAAGUGUGGGGAGCAAACAGGAUUAGAUACCCUGGUAGUCCACACUGUAAACGAUGGAUACUAGGUGUAGGAGGUAUUAAGCCUUCU
rnacentral:rRNA from 1 species